UACGGGGGGGGCAAGCGUUGUUCGGAAUUACUGGGCGUAAAGGGCUCGUAGGCGGCCAACUAAGUCCGACGUGAAAUCCCCAGGCUUAACCUGGGAACUGCGUCGGAUACUGGUUGGCUUGAAUCCGGGAGAGGGAUGCGGAAUUCCUGGUGUAGCGGUGAAAUGCGUAGAUAUCUGGAGGAACACCGGUGGCGAAGGCGGCAUCCUGGACCGGUAUUGACGCUGAGGCGCGAAAGCCAGGGGAGCAAACGGG
rnacentral:rRNA from 1 species